AGAGUUUGAUCAUGGCUCAGGACGAACGCUGGCGGCGUGCCUAAUACAUGCAAGUCGAACGAGAAUUUCUUACACCGAGUGCUUGCACUCACCGUAAGAAAUUCGAGUGGCGGACGGGUGAGUAACACGUGGGUAACCUGCCCAAAAGAAGGGGAUAACAUUUGGAAACAAAUGCUAAUACCGUAUAACCAUGAUGACCGCAUGGUCAUUAUGUAAAAGGUGGUUCUGCUAUCGCUUUUGGAUGGACCCGCGGCGUAUUAACUAGUUGGUAGGGUAACGGCCUACCAAGGUGAUGAUACGUAGCCGAGUUGAGAGACUGAUCGGCCACAAUGGGACUGAGACACGGCCCAUACUCCUACGGGAGGCAGCAGUAGGGAAUCUUCCACAAUGGGCGCAAGCCUGAUGGAGCAACGCCGCGUGAAUGAAGAAGGUCUUCGGAUCGUAAAAUUCUGUUGUUAGAGAAGAAUAUGAGUAAUAGUAACUGAUUAUUCACUGACGGUAUCUAACCAGCAAGUCACGGCUAACUACGUGCCAGCAGCCGCAGUAAUACGUAGGUGGCAAGCGUUGUCCGGAUUUAUUGGGCGUAAAGGGAACGCAGGCGGUUUUUUAAGUCUGAUGUGAGAGCCUUCGGCUUAACCGGAGAUGUGCAUUGGAAACUGGAAGACUUGAGUGCAGAAGAGGAGAGUGGAACUCCAUGUGUAGCGGUGAAAUGCGUAGAUAUAUGGAAGAACACCAGUGGCGAAAGCGGCUCUCUGGUCUGUAACUGACGCUGAGGUUCGAAAGCAUGGGUAGCGAACAGGAUUAGAUACCCUGGUAGUCC
rnacentral:rRNA from 1 species